GGGUUUGGGGCACUGCUUUGGGCAAUUUACCUCCGUUGCUGAGUUUUCUUGGCAUCUCCUGGUAUGCUGCAUCUCUGCAUGUGCCACACCCUAGUCCAGACCCUGACCCACACAGUGCUGGGGUUUAAGGGAGGCCUGCUUUUUUCUCUCCAUUUACAGAUGGGAAAGCUGACAUAAACGGGUAGGUGGUAGAGGUGGGAUUUGAACCCAGGUAACCUAACUCCAAACUUCUGCAUCUUGUCAUAAGGAUCCAAAUCUUAGGCUUUAAGGGGUUCUGUGCAGAUCCUCAGCAGCCUCCCCAGCUUCAGAUCCGGCCUCCUGAGCUCCAGUCUCUCUGAUACCUGCACCCAGGCUCAGGUGCAGGCCAGAGCUCACCUGACUCUGGUGAGCUGCUCUGCCCUACACCGGGAUUGCAGCACACAUCACAUGGCGCUGUCAUUGUCAGAUCCAUCUCUGUGUCCCCACACCCAGCCUGACACAUGGAGCCUGGGAUACAAUAGAUGCUCAAACCGUUGAUGGUUUAGGUGCCAGUGGCUUCCGAAUAAAACAGCAUUCUUGAAGUGAACAGCUGAUGAGGACAUGAAAUAUUAUGCCAAAGCUGGCAUCACACUGUUCUUUUUCCUGGAUGAAAAUCUCUCUGAGAAGCAUUUGCUCUUAACUUUGGUGUCCUGGGGACUGCUGCCUUAUCCCAGGAAGCCACCCAGAGUCUUGGAUGUGUGGGAUCCUUAGGACUUCAUGGUAAACCUGCUCUAGUCCCUCGGGUUAGUAAAAUGAAGCCCAGGACAUCUGAGAGCCCCCAGCACUUCCAUAGAAAUGGACCAAAAUCCCUUCUCCCAGGGGGAGAAACCUGGAAUAAGCUCAAGAGGACAGACGGCUAAAUUUUCAAGAAUCGUGUGAGCUGCUGUUAAACAAGCCAUUAUUAAAACUUUAAUUGUGUAAACUUACAAUUAGGUCAGUUAUAUUAAAAGUAAAAGUGAUACAUACCC
rnacentral:lncRNA from 10 species